rnacentral:misc_RNA from 1 species
GAUGAAGAACGCAGCGAAAUGCGAUACUUGGUGUGAAUUGCAGAAUCCCGUGAACCAUCGAGUCUUUGAACGCAAGUUGCGCCCGAAGCCAUCAGGUUGAGGGCACGUCUGCCUGGGCGUCACAUAUCGUUGCCCAAUGCCUAUUGCAGUGCAAUAGGAAUUUCUAGGGCGAAUGAUGGCUUCCCGUGAGCGUUGUUGCCUCGCGGUUGGUUGAAAAUCGAGUCCUUGGUAGGGUGUGCCAUGGUAGAUGGUGGUCGAGUUAGAACGAUACCGAUCAUGUGCAUGCUCCCCAAAAUAUGGCCUCUAUGACCCACACGCGUCUUUUGACGCUCAUGACGAGACCUCAGGUCAGGCGGGGCUACCCACUGAAUUUAAGCAUAUCAAUAAGCGGAGGA